rnacentral:rRNA from 1 species
UACGGAGGGUGCAAACGUUGCUCGGAAUCAUUGGGCGUAAAGCGCACGUAGGCGGACCGCUAAGUCGGAUGUGAAAGCCCUCGGCUUAACCGAGGAAGUGCAUUCGAAAACUGACAGUCUUGAGUAUGGAAGAGGGUCGCGGAAUUCCCGGUGUAGAGGUGAAAAUUCGUAGAUAUCGGGAGGAACACCAGUGGCGAAGGCGGCGACCUGGGCCAAUACUGACGCUGAGGUGCGAAAGCGUGGGGAGCAAACAGG